UUGGAGGGCAAGUCUGGUGCCAGCAGCCGCGGUAAUUCCAGCUCCAAUAGCGUAUAUUAAAGUUGUUGCAGUUAAAAAGCUCGUAGUUGAAUUUCGGGAUCAAUAUUUCGGUCAUGCCGUUGGUAUGCACUGUUAUCAUUGAUUUCUCACCUUCUAAAGAACCGUAAUGCCAUUAAUUUGGUGUUAUGGGGAAUUAGGACUGUUACCUUGAAGAAAUUAGAGUGUUUAAAGCAGGCUCACGCUUGAAUACAUUAGCAUGGAAUAAUGAAAUAGGACAUCCGAUUCUAUUUUGUUGGUUUCUAGGAUCGAUGUAAUGAUUAAUAGGGAUAGUUGGGGGCAUUAGUAUUCAAUUGUCAGAGGUGAAAUUCUUGGAUUUAUUGAAGACUAACUACUGCGAAAGCAUUUGUCAAGGAUGUUUUCAUUAAUCAAGAACGAAAGUUAGGGGAUCGAAGACGAUCAGAUACCGUCGUAGUCUUAACCAUAAACUAUGCCGACUAGGGAUCGGAUGAUGUUAAUUUUUUAAUGACUCAUUCGGCGCCUUACGGGAAAC
rnacentral:rRNA from 1 species